UACGUAGGGUGCGAGCGUUAAUCGGAAUUACUGGGCGUAAAGCGUGCGCAGGCGGUUUGGUAAGUCAGAUGUGAAAUCCCCGGGCUCAACCUGGGAACUGCAUUUGAGACUGCCAAGCUGGAGUUUGGCAGAGGGGGGUGGAAUUCCACGUGUAGCAGUGAAAUGCGUAGAGAUGUGGAGGAACACCGAUGGCGAAGGCAGCCCCCUGGGCCAAUACUGACGCUCAUGCACGAAAGCGUGGGGAGCAAACAGGAUUAGAUACCCUGGUAGUCCACGCCCUAAACGAUGUCAACUAGGUGUUGGGAGGGUUAAACCUUUUAGUGCCGUAGCUAACGCGUGAAGUUGACCGCCUGGGGAGUACGGCCGCAAGGCUAAA
rnacentral:rRNA from 1 species